rnacentral:rRNA from 1 species
GACGAACGCUGGCGGCGUGCUUAACACAUGCAAGUCGAACGGAAAGGCCCUGCUUUUGUGUGGUGCUCGAGUGGCGAACGGGUGAGUAACACGUGAGUAACCUGCCCUUGACUUUGGGAUAACUUCAGGAAACUGGGGCUAAUACCGGAUAGGAGCUCCUGCUGCAUGGUGGUGGUUGGAAAGUUUCGGCGGUUGGGGAUGGACUCGCGGCUUAUCAGCUUGUUGGUGGGGUAGUGGCUUACCAAGGCUUUGACGGGUAGCCGGCCUGAGAGGGUGACCGGCCACAUUGGGACUGAGAUACGGCCCAGACUCCUACGGGAGGCAGCAGUGGGGAAUAUUGCACAAUGGGCGGAAGCCUGAUGCAGCAACGCCGCGUGCGGGAUGACGGCCUUCGGGUUGUAAACCGCUUUCGCCUGUGACGAAGCGUGAGUGACGGUAAUGGGUAAAGAAGCACCGGCUAACUACGUG